UACAGAGGUGGCAAGCGUUGUUCGGAAUUACUGGGCGUAAAGGGCGCGUAGGCGGCUUGGUCAGUCCCGUGUGAAAUCCCUCGGCUCAACUGAGGAACUGCACGGGAAACUGCCUGGCUUGAGUUCGGGAGAGGGAAGCGGAAUUCCGGGUGUAGCGGUGAAAUGCGUAGAUAUCCGGAGGAACACCGGUGGCGAAGGCGGGUUGCUGGGCCGACACUGACGCUGAGGCGCGAAAGCCAGGGGAGCGAACGGG
rnacentral:rRNA from 1 species